rnacentral:rRNA from 1 species
UACGGAGGGUGCGAGCGUUGUCCGGAAUCAUUGGGCGUAAAGGGCGCGUAGGUGGCCCGGUCAGUUCGUGGUGAAAGCGCGGGCUCAACUCCGCGUCGGCCAUGAAUACUGCUGGGCUGGAGCACUGUAGAGGCAGCGGAAUUCCGGGUGUAGCGGUGGAAUGCGUAGAGAUCCGGAAGAACACCGGUGGCGAAGGCGGCCGCUGGGCAUGGAGCUGACACUAGGCGCGACAGCGGUGGGGAGCAAACAGG